UGACAUAACUUGGAACUCUAAAGUUGUUUUUGUUAGAACUUAGAAUUCCAGGUUACGCCAGC
rnacentral:pre_miRNA from 1 species